rnacentral:rRNA from 2 species
UGUUUCGGCUAGGGGGCCAUCCCGGCUUACCAACCCGAUGCAAACUGCGAAUACCGGAGAAUGUUAUCACGGGAGACACACGGCGGGUGCUAACGUCCGUCGUGAAGAGGGAAACAACCCAGACCGCCAGCUAAGGUCCCAAAGUCAUGGUUAAGUGGGAAACGAUGUGGGAAGGCCCAGACAGCCAGGAUGUUGGCUUAGAAGCAGCCAUCAUUUAAAGAAAGCGUAAUAGCUCACUGGUCGAGUCGGCCUGCGCGGAAGAUGUAACGGGGCUAAACCAUGCACCGAAGCUGCGGCAGCGACACUCAGGUGUUGUUGGGUAGGGGAGCGUUCUGUAAGCCUGUGAAGGUGGCCUGUGAGGGUUGCUGGAGGUAUCAGAAGUGCGAAUGCUGACAUAAGUAACGAUAAAGCGGGUGAAAAGCCCGCUCGCCGGAAGACCAAGGGUUCCUGUCCAACGUUAAUCGGGGCAGGGUGAGUCGACCCCUAAGGCGAGGCCGAAAGGCGUAGUCGAUGGGAAACGGGUUAAUAUUCCCGUACUUGGUGUUACUGCGAAGGGGGGACGGAGAAGGCUAUGUUGGCCGGGCGACGGUUGUCCCGGUUUAAGCGUGUAGGUGUGUGUUCCAGGUAAAUCCGGUUCACUUUAACACUGAGGCGUGAUGACGAGGCGCUACGGUGCUGAAGCAACAAAUGCCCUGCUUCCAGGAAAAGCCUCUAAGCAUCAGGUAACAUCAAAUCGUACCCCAAACCGACACAGGUGGUCAGGUAGAGAAUACCAAGGCGCUUGAGAGAACUCGGGUGAAGGAACUAGGCAAAAUGGUGCCGUAACU